GAUGAACGCUGGCGGCGUGCCUAAUACAUGCAAGUCGAGCGAACGGACGAGAAGCUUGCUUUUCUGAUGUUAGCGGCGGACGGGUGAGUAACACGUGGAUAACCUACCUAUAAGACUGGGAUAACUUCGGGAAACCGGAGCUAAUACCGGAUAAUAUUUUGAACCGCAUGGUUCAAAAGUGAAAGACGGUCUUUCUGUCACUUAUAGAUUGAUCCGCGCUUCAUUAUCUAGUUGGUAAGGUAACGGCUUACCAAGGCAACGAUGCAUAGCCGACCUGAGAGGGUGAUCGGCCACACUGGAACUGAGACACGGACCAGACUCCUACGGGAGGCAGCAGUAGGGAAUAUUCCGCAAUGGGCGAAAGCCUGACGGAGCAACGCCGCGUGAAUGAUGAAGGUCUUCGGAUCGUAAAACUCUGUUAUUAGGGAAGAAAAUAUGUGUAAGUAACUGUGCACAUCUUGACGGUACCUAAUCAGAAAGCCACGGCUAACUACGUG
rnacentral:rRNA from 1 species